UACGUAGGGUGCGAGCGUUGUCCGGAAUUAUUGGGCGUAAAGGGCUCGUAGGCGGCCUGUCGCGUCGGAUGUGAAAGCCCGGGGCUUAACCCCGGGUCUGCAUUCGAUACGGGCAGGCUAGAGUGUGGUAGGGGAGAUCGGAAUUCCUGGUGUAGCGGUGAAAUGCGCAGAUAUCAGGAGGAACACCGGUGGCGAAGGCGGAUCUCUGGGCCAUUACUGACGCUGAGGAGCGAAAGCGUGGGGAGCGAACAGG
rnacentral:rRNA from 1 species